rnacentral:rRNA from 1 species
UACGAAGGGGGCUAGCGUUGCUCGGAAUCACUGGGCGUAAAGGGCGCGUAGGCGGCGCCGGAAGUCAGGGGUGAAAUCCUGGAGCUCAACUCCAGAACUGCCUUUGAUACUGGCGAUCUUGAGUCCGGGAGAGGUGAGUGGAACUGCGAGUGUAGAGGUGAAAUUCGUAGAUAUUCGCAAGAACACCAGUGGCGAAGGCGGCUCACUGGCCCGGUACUGACGCUGAGGUGCGAAAGCUAGGGUAGCAAACGGG